rnacentral:rRNA from 1 species
UACGAAGGUGGCAAGCGUUGUUCGGAUUCACUGGGCGUACAGGGAGCGUAGGCGGUUGGGUAAGCCCUCCGUGAAAUCUCCGGGCCUAACCCGGAAAGUGCAGAGGGGACUGCUCAGCUUGAGGACGGGAGAGGAGCGCGGAAUUCCCGGUGUAGCGGUGAAAUGCGUAGAGAUCGGGAGGAAGGCCGGUGGCGAAGGCGGCGCUCUGGAACGUUUCUGACGCUGAGGCUCGAAAGCGUGGGGAGCAAACAGG